AGAAUCAACGCUGGCGGCGUGCCUAACACAUGCAAGUCGAACGAGAAAGUGGAGCAAUCCAUGAGUAAAGUGGCGCACGGGUGAGUAACACGUGACUAACCUACCCUUGAGUGGGGGAUAACCUAGGGAAACCUGGGCUAAUACCGCAUAAUACCUUCGGGUCAAAGGAGCAAUUCGCUUAAGCGAGGGGGUCGCGGCCGAUUAGUUAGUUGGCGGGGUAAUGGCCCACCAAGACGAUGAUCGGUAUCCGGCCUGAGAGGGCGCACGGACACACUGGAACUGAAACACGGUCCAGACUCCUACGGGAGGCAGCAGUGGGGAAUUUGCGCAAUGGGGGAAACCCUGACGCAGCAACGCCGCGUGGAGGAUGAAGUCCCUUGGGACGUAAACUCCUUUCGAUCGGGACGAUUAUGACGGUACCGGAAGAAGAAGCCCGGCUAACUUCGCGCCAGCAGCCGC
rnacentral:rRNA from 1 species